AGAAUGAAGGCCUGAUCCAAAGCCCAUUGAAGUCAAUGGAAACCCUCUCAUUGACUUCACUGGGCUUUGGAUCAGGCCCU
rnacentral:pre_miRNA from 1 species